rnacentral:rRNA from 1 species
AUUGAACGCUGGCGGCAGGCCUAACACAUGCAAGUCGAACGGUAACAGGAAGCAGCUUGCUGCUUCGCUGACGAGUGGCGGACGGGUGAGUAAUGUCUGGGAAACUGCCUGAUGGAGGGGGAUAACUACUGGAAACGGUAUCUAAUACCGCAUAACGUCGCAAGACCAACGAGGGGGACCUUAGGGCCUCUUGCCAUCGGAUGUGCCCAGAUGGGAUUAGCUAGUAGGUGGGGUAACGGCUCACCUAGGCGACGAUCCCUAGCUGGUCUGAGAGGAUGACCAGCCACACUGGAACUGAGACACGGUCCAGACUCCUAAGGGAGGCAGCAGUGGGGAAUAUUGCACAAUGGGCGCAAGCCUGAUGCAGCCAUGCCGCGUGUAUGAAGAAGGCCUUCGGGUUGUAAAGUACUUUCAGCGGGGAGGAAGGGAGUAAAGUUAAUACCUUUGCUCAUUGACGUUACCCGCAGAAGAAGCACCGGCUAACUCCGUG